CUAAUAGAACAGCAGGCUAAGCAUGCAACCUUGAGGUGCAACUGUGUUGAUUGUCAGUGAGGAGGAGAUGCUGCUUCUGAUCUGCAGUGACUGUGGUCCGCUGAUGAGGAAGUCAAAGAUCCAAUUGCACAGGGAGGUAAAGAGUCCCAGGUUUUGAAGCUUGUUGAUGAGGAUUCUUGAGAGUCAUUCAAACUGGACUCAUUCAGUCGAGUGCAGAGUAUCCCACCAGUCUCCUUACGUUCGCAUUGUUGAUGGAAAGAGCUAUUGGUUACAACUGGAGGGACGAGAUGGAAUAUUGGCAACUGCCCAGAAGCCAUUCCAGAGAUUGGAUUCCAGCUUGCCACUAUUUCGACUGCAAUCAAAAGAAUUCAAGCAUGAUUGAAGACUCUGCUUUUGCCAUUGUGUUGUGUCCAUUCUUGGGUACCUGAUGGCUGGGUGGUAGGUUUCCUCUGCUGGAACGACCGGCAUUAGAAGCACCUUGAUAUCAAGCUUUCAAAUAUUUUAGUUGGACAGUGCAGAGGGAAGGGGCCUCCAGUGGUGAGUUAUCAUUAUCCUGACUUGUGCUUCGUAAGUGUUGGGGACUCAGAGGUGAUUUACGCUCUGCAGGUCCGGACCUGCUCAUGGUCCCACAGUUGUCCACUUGGGCUUCGGGGGUAGAAUCAGGUUACUGUCAGAACUGCAGACAUCAAGUAAGUGAAUACCGGAUGGUCGAGCGGGAGAGGGCCACAGAGUAUAGAAUGGGUACUACUACUCAGACUGCAGUAUAUGGGGAUCAUGGUAGUACAAAUGAACAUAUCAAUUACGAACAGCAGUAGGCUACCUUGAAUUAUCUGCUCUACCAUUUAAAAUCAGAGCUGACCUUAGUGUAAAUGCAACUCAGCAUUCCUGUCUACCCCAGCAACCUUUCAUCCCUCUGCUUAUCAAAGCUUUCGGUGUCUGCCUUAAAAGUAUUCACAGCUUUUUGAAGAAGAGAAUUCCAAAGACUUGCCAGUCCCUGAGUAAAAAAAAUCACAUCUCUGAUAGAAAUGGGUAGUGCUUUAUUUUUAAACAGUGACCCCCCCCCAGUUCUAGAUUCUCCCUCAAGAAAUAACACUAUCUCCACAUCUAUCCUGUUGAGACCCCGUGGGAUCUUUGUUUUUGAUCUUGUUUUCUUUUGUUACAUUGAUUCCAUUGAUUUCAUAUAUUAACUGUGAAUUCCUGCAAGAAAAUGAAUCUCAGGA